rnacentral:rRNA from 1 species
GGCACGGGGGGCCUACGGGAGGCAGCAGUAGGGAAUCUUUCGUAUUGUACGAAAGUCUGACGGAGCAACGCCGCGUGAGUGAAGAAGGUCUUCGGAUCGUAAAGCUCUGUUGUUAGGGAAGAACAAGUAUCGGAGGAAAUGCCGGUACCUUGACGGUACCUGACGAGAGUAAGCCAUGGCUAACUACGUGCCAGCAGCCGCGGUAAUU